rnacentral:pre_miRNA from 1 species
AAUAGUUUUAUGCCGCAUCAGCAUUAUCAUCCUAAAUUUCAGCAUUUUCAUCUUGAAAAAAAUCAAAUCUAAAUUAAAAUGCUGAAAUUUAGGAUGAUAAUGCUGAUGCGGCAUAAAACUAUU